GAAAUUGGUAAACGCUACGGACUUAAUUGGAUUGAGCCUUGGUAUAGAAACUUACUAAGUGAAAACUUUCAAAUUCAUCUAUCCUUU